CGCGGUGCCAUGGUUCGCAUGGCACAAGUAGAUUUUUGGCUCUAAGGCACCGUACGAAGGUGUAGCGUGCGAACGAUUACAGUAAACAUCCUGAGAAGCCCACGUGUUAAGAAAAAUCAAAAUAAAAUUUGCAAAAUGAAUAAGACUGUUCUCAAUUUCUUAAAUGGUCGAGUUAAUAGUGGGCAUCUAGGACUUCCACUUUGUCCCCAAAAAUGGAACCAUAUACAGGCCAAGGAUAAAAAAAAACAAUGCUGUCAAAACUUUAUUUCAUUCUAAAAAACAAAAAUACAACUUUUGUACUUUCAGUUAUUUAUAAACGUACUAAAAGCAAAGUCCUGCUUUUGUCCAUUUAAUCCAAACACAAUAUAAGCAUGUAGUACGUUUAUGAAUAAGGAUACCACAAAAAAAUAUAAAAUAGCCAGUUAGCAGUAAAAACUAGGGAUAAUUUAAACUCAAGCGCAUUCAUUGUACUAAGCUUGUCUUAUGUAAAAGAAAACAAGAAACGUCUGAUUGUGACAGCCCAGUUUCACCAUAGACACGUGACACGAUCUUUCUGUUUGACCAAUGACAAACAAACGAUCCGCGUUUAAUCGACCCGGAGAUUCACAGAGUAUUAAACCUAUAUACGUCAAUGUAAAAUUGUUUAACUUUUUUUAAUGAUACUUUACGUUUACGUAACAUAACAUACGUUUUCAUAACAUCUGAGUUGCAAGGUACUGGAGGAGCUGUAAAGAUUUUUAUGUAAAUUCAUUGAAACCGGAUUAUAAUUCAUUGAACUACUAACGUAACUAAAUAAUUUCUUUUAAAGAUUAUGUUUGGUUAAACAAAUUUCACAUUUAAUACUAUGUCGAACACACGGUCUCAUAAAAGCCUCAACAACUUAAAGAUUGUUUUGUCAUUUUAUUUCAAAAGGAAGUAAAAAUAAUGUUAAAUAAGGCAGUGAUGUAAUGCAUAUAAUAAACAGCUGACAAUUCUAUUGUACUUAUCAUUAUUAUACAUUUAUUUUAGUUCACAUACAU